UGAUGAGGAAUAGAUACUAGAGAUUUGGAUGAAAAAAUAAUUAUUAGAAAUUUAAACGAAGAAUGAGAUGUUGGGAGGAAUUUGCAAUUUUUCCUAUUUAAUCUUUCAAUGUUGAUUGAAUUGAGGAAACGAGAUUAUAAUAUAUAAAAUAUAUAUCUGUCUAUAAUUUAGCGCUAUGUUUAGAGACUUUAUAUUCUAGCUAAGGAAAUAAGUAAGAAUAAAGAGGAAAACAAUUGUUUUAUUGUCAGGAAAUAAGUCAUCAUUCUUUAAAUUUCUGGAAAAAAUAAAUUAACAAUGCAUAUCCUAUUUGUAAUAUUCUGGACAUUCUAAUACAAGAAUUUGAUUUACAAAGACAGACCUUGAUCUCAUCGAGUCGUUUCUGCUCCUCGACGAACUGUUGGUCUAUACGAAUACAA